UACGUAGGGGGCAAGCGUUGACCGGAUUUAUUGGGCGUAAAGAGCGUGUAGGCGGCCAGGUAGGUCCGUUGUGAAAACUCGAGGCUCAACCUCGAGACGCCGAUGGAAACCAUCUGGCUAGAGUCCGGAAGAGGAGAGUGGAAUUCCCGGUGUAGCGGUGAAAUGCGCAGAUAUCGGGAAGAACACCCGUGGCUAAGGCGGCUCUCUAGUACGGUACUGACGCUGAGACGCGAAAGCGUGGGGAGCGAACAGG
rnacentral:rRNA from 1 species